UACGAAGGGGGCUAGCGUUGCUCGGAAUCACUGGGCGUAAAGCGCACGUAGGCGGAUUGUUAAGUCGGGGGUGAAAGCCUGUGGCUCAACCACAGAAUUGCCUUCGAUACUGUAGAGCUUGAGACCGGAAGAGGUAAGUGGAACUGCGAGUGUAGAGGUGAAAUUCGUAGAUAUUCGCAAGAACACCAGUGGCGAAGGCGGCUUACUGGUCCGGUUCUGACGCUGAGGCGCGAAAGCGUGGGGAGCAAACAGG
rnacentral:rRNA from 1 species